rnacentral:rRNA from 1 species
UACGAAGGGGGCGAGCGUUGUUCGGAGUUACUGGGCGUAAAGGGCGCGUAGGUGGUUGUGUAAGUUGGAUGUGAAAUCCCUGGGCUUAACCUAGGAACUGCAUACAAAACUGCAUAGCUAGAGUACUGUAGAGGGUAGUGGAAUUUCCGGUGUAGCGGUGAAAUGCGUAGAGAUCGGAAGGAACACCAGUGGCGAAGGCGGCUACCUGGACAGAUACUGACACUGAGGCGCGAGAGCGUGGGGAGCAAACAGG